ensembl:lncRNA
AAGAUGUAUCCUGGAAGUAGAAGGGUCCUGGGUAAGGGACUGGGUGUAAGGCAGGAGAGAAAAGGCAAAAUGAAUGACUCUUAAGACCUUGGCCGGGUGCUCUCUAUCAGGCCAUGCUGUCCUCGUGCAUGGACCAUGUCUUUCAUUUUCUGUCUUCUGAUGCUUUGACCUCUGAGGCCUUGCAGGACCAGAGGGACUGCCCCUCCCAGGAUUAGCCAGUCUGUAGAGAAAAUAAACAACUUAUCCAUGAGGGUGCUUCUCAAAUACAAACCAAUGAAUCCGCACCCCAAGCAUCUCCUUUAUCAGCUCUCACACUCCUAGCCUUUGGUCACCUGCCCUAAUGACUCCAGGACCAGAUACCAAGUAGCUAGGGACAGCCCAGAUCUCACUGAAACGAUUCUCACUCGGCUUCAUCGGUUCCUUCCUGUGGAUCCACAGCAACACCUGCCCUCAGUCCCUUUCUCCAGACCCCGGCCCUGUUGACCAAGCUUGGUGCUUCCCUGUGUGGCCCACGGUGGCGUGGUGUGGCCCGUCUCCUUGGGAACUAUAACGAGCUCCAAUACUUUGGCCACCUGAUGUGAAAAACUGACUCACUGGAAAAGACCCUGAUGCUGGGAAAGAUUGAAGGCAGGAGGAGAAGGGGACAACAGAGGAUGAGAUGGUUGGAUGGCAUCACCGACUCGAUGAACAUGAGUUUGAGCAAACUCCAGGAGCUGGUGAUGGACAGGGAAGCCUGGCAUGCUGUGGUCCAUGGGGUCGCAAAGAGUCGGACACAACUGAGCAGCUGAACUGAACUGAACUGAAGAGACUAUACAAUAAACCUGUAUGUCUCCACUGUGAACUACCAGAGUGGAAUUCUAUCAUCACUUUUAUUUUGGUUUGGAGCUGGCUGGCAGAACUCAAAACUCUUGGGGUAGCUUUUAGGAUUAUUUCUCAGCUGGACAGGUUCAUACAUGAAUCCCAGAGAAUGGUGACAUUCUUCUUUGGAAAGCAUUGGGUAGUACAGGAAUUCUCAUCUCUACAAUCAAAAGGCAUCAAAAAUAAAUUUGGAUUUAAAAAAAAAAAGGGUCAUUGUAGAGGGUCUCAGAUUCACACUGGUUCAUCGGAUGAAUUAUAGUUAUGUCAUCCGUGUCGGUAACUCUGUGUUAGAAAGCAGUCAAUGCAAUAUCUGCAGUACAAAUUACAGACUUUGAUCCCAAUGAGCCCGUUAGAACAGAGAACUAGGUUUGCUCUUUUUAUUUUAUAUCUCCAAAUGUUUCAGAGUGAAGAGAUGAGAAAGUGCAUUGAAUCCUUCUGUUCCCUCUUUAUCCGUCUCUAAAUGGGAUCUUAGGACUGCGUGUGCUUACCUCGCCUUUUAUCCAGCCUGCAGCGAGGCUCAUCUGCAAGCAAAAAUUACCUUGCCCAAGUAUUCUUAGGAGAAAUAAUUAGCCACAAGCCCCUCCUCCGCACACUCUCCCACAUUCCUCGGGAGGCCCAGAUGCCUGACAUAAAUCAUUUAGUCCUGAGCCCUCGCAUACACCUUUCCCACUGGAUUCCAUAAUUGGCAAAGUAGUUGCCAACUGGGUUUAAAGUGAUUUGAAAUUGUUUUCCAUCCAGUCUUGCUGAUAGCAAAAGGUUUCCCCUUUACC